rnacentral:rRNA from 1 species
GAUGAACGCUGGCGGCGUGCCUAAUACAUGCAAGUCGAGCGACCAGAUAGGAAGCUUGCUCCUCUACCGUUGGCGGCGGGCGGGCGAGUAACGCGUGCAUCGCCUUCCUCUAUGUCUUGGAUGACUUCGGGAAACCGCUUCUAAUACCGGCGCAUAUAUUCUACCGCAUGGUUCAAUGGUGCUACACGCCUUUGCUGUCACAUAUAGCUGAAGCCGCGCCGCAUUAGCUAGUUGGUAAGGUAACGGCCUACCAAGGCAACGAUGCGUAGCUGACCUGAGAGGGUGAUCAGCCACACUGGAACUGAGACACGGUCCAGACUCCUACGGGAGGCAGCAGUAGGGAAUCUUCCGCAAUGGGCGAAAGCCUGACGGAGCAACGCCGCGUGAGUGAUGAAGGUCUUCGGAUCGUAAAACUCUGUUAUUAGGGAAGAACAAAUGUGUAAGUAACUAUGCACGUCUUGACGGUACCUAAACAGAAAGCCCCGGCUAACUACGUG